ACCAGACGGCCAAAAAAUAAUACAGAAAAGAAGGAUUACCUAUCCCAUCUCGCCGCCGUUUCUCUGAUUUUGUGUCUUUCUCUCCUCACACACGCCAAUGGAAGAGGCAAACAAUACUCUUGAUCUGAUUGAUAUGGUACUCAUCAUCGCCAUUCGUCAUUUGGUUUAUUUGGGCGUGGAUGUUUCUUGUUUCCCCAUUUGGCUAGUCGCUCUCAAUUUUCUUCCACACAAAAUUGAGAGGAAGAGCAUUUUGAAUAGUCUGAAUCAAGAACCCCCACAAUAUCUCUCGAUUCUUCAAGAAGACUUCAAGCUACAGGACAACUGUUAAAUUUUUCCCUCUUUGAUCCUAAUUGUCGAAUCUGCAACUGUAAGCCACAACCCGCAUCCAAAGACAACAACAUACUGACUCUGUCACUCUAAGAAGAGAUGGAGGAGGAAGAUGUGAACAACCUUGAACCAGUUGAGGUAGAAGAGUAUGAAAACGAGGAUUCAUUUGGAAUUAGUAAUGAUGUUAUUGCUGCUGACCCAGAAAAAAUUGGGGACCCGGUUGUAGAUUCUGCCAUUAAUGAAGUUGUUAAUCAAGAAGAUCCAUUGGAUGCUUAUCAAGAAGAUCCACUGGAUACUGAAAUGGAGAUUGACAGAUUGUCUUACGACUCUUACCAACCUUACUUUUGCAACUUUACAUUUGUAUUAAGUUUUAAAGAUGAUAAUAUUAUUGCAUAUUUGAUGUUUGACUUCCUAUUUAAUGAUUUGUUGGCCAAAGUAGUUGCAUAUUUAUUUGUUAAUUAUUAAUUGGAUUUAUCUUUUUUAAUCCAAAAUACUAUACAUUCUGGGUCUGCAAUGUCCCUCCCGAUAUUGGGUUUGGAUAUAUUUGUUUUCCGCUAGGUAUGUAGGAAAGUUGCUUAAAGGACAGACAAUUGAGGUCAUUGGUGGUGGUCGUAUUGGAUCUACUUAUGCCAGAAUGAUGGAAUCUGUGAAGACCAAGCACCCUUAGCUUCAUUAUGAGUCAAAGUUAUACAUGCUUCUACAAGGAGGGACGAGUAUCACCCAUCUGAAAUGGUUUGGUGUUGAGGGCGAGUACAAUGUUAUGGUUAUUGACCUUCUAGGGCCAAUCGAAAGUUUGCAAUCCUAGAAGACUUGUUCAACUAUUGCAAUCGAAAGUUUUCUUUAAAAAUAGUUUUGAUGCUUGCAGAUCAGUUAAUAAAUAGAGCUCAGUUUAGGGCGCAAAGCUAAUCAGGUGAUGCCCGAGUUACAAAAUGUUGGAAAUGGAGGCUACGUUAUAUGAAACCAGUGCAAGUGAUCGAUGGAAAAUAGAAUAUUUUUAUAUGGAGUUUCCUCUACACAUUACGAUUUUCUGCAUUAGUUAUUUGAUUUUUGCAUUUUAUAUUUG